UACAGAGGUGGCAAGCGUUGUUCGGAAUUACUGGGCGUAAAGGGCGCGUAGGCGGUUCGUUAAGUCCUGUGUGAAAUCCCCGGGCUUAACCUGGGAACUGCAUUUGUGACUGCAUGGCUAGAGUGCGGCAGAGGGGGAUGGAAUUCCGCGUGUAGCAGUGAAAUGCGUAGAUAUGCGGAGGAACACCGAUGGCGAAGGCAAUCCCCUGGGCCUGCACUGACGCUCAUGCACGAAAGCGUGGGGAGCAAACAGG
rnacentral:rRNA from 1 species